AACGAACGCUGGCGGCGUGUUUAAGACAUGCAAGUUGAACGGGGAAUCUUUGGAGCUUGCUUUGAGGAUUCCUAGUGGCGCACGGGUGAGUAACACGUGAGUAACAUGCCUCGUAGAGGGGAAUAGCCCGCCGAAAGGCGGAUUAAUACCCCAUAGUCCCGCAAGGGUAAAGGUGGCUUCGGCUGUCGCUACGAGAUUGGCUCGCGUCCUAUCAGCUUGUUGGUGAGGUAACGGCUCACCAAGGCAACGACGGGUAGCUGGUCUGAGAGGACGAUCAGUCACACUGGAACUGAGACACGGUCCAGACACCUACGGGUGGCAGCAGUCGAGAAUAAUUCACAAUGGGGGAAACCCUGAUGGUGCAACGCCGCGUGGAGGAUGAAGGCCCUAGGGUCGUAAACUCCUGUCAUUUGAGAGUAAGACCUGGUCGUUAAUAGCGGACAGGGUUGAUAGUAUCAAAAGAGGAAGGGACGGCUAACUUCG
rnacentral:rRNA from 1 species